rnacentral:lncRNA from 1 species
CUCACGCAUAGUGGCUAGGGAUUAAGAGACAAAGGCAACAGGAGCAGACACCAGGUCCCGGUCACUUCUCCUGAGAAGCUGAGUCAAGGUAACACACUCAGAAAUCACACUUUUAAAACUAUUAUUACUUAACAUGUUCUGCUUCUGCUUAAAUAUAAAAUGACUUUAGGAUAAUUAGCAUUUUUAGGCAUACAGUAUUACUUACCAGAGUCCCUUUCUAUUAUGUGUUUCUCAUUCCUUUUUCAAACCAAAACAAAUACUAAUUUGUCUUUCUCCUGUAAGAAUAAAUAUUGUAAACAUUGGGACAUUCUUUUUAGAGACCUUUUAUUUUCUACCCUGAUUUUGGCAACCUAGUCUUUUUGGUAUAUUGACCAUAAGAGAAAUUAUUUAGUAGGCUUGUCUUACUCAUGCACAGUUGGUGUUGUUCUGUUCUUUAAUGUGUCUCAAGCAAAGAAAUUUAAAGGGCAGCAUGGUAAGAAAUUUGCCUAAAAGUUACAUGAUGGUUCUAGUCCCUGUUCAAUUAAUUGUGGUGUCCCAGGCAAAUCACCCAAUGCCUUGGUGUUCUCAUCUAUAAAGUACUAGAGUUGUUUUUGGCAUUGCUGCCUGGCACAGAGUUGGCAUUCAAUAGUCUGUUGAUAUACAAAUAUUAGUUUCAUAAACAUCUUCAAAAGUUUUAUUAUAUUGAAUUCAAUUCACUUCUGUGAAAAGUAGUCAACCAACUAAAUGGCAUGCAAAUUAACAAGGUCUACUCCUAUUGCACGCUAUUUUCGUGGCAGUCUGAGAUGAGAAGAAACUAGCACUGGAAGCAAAAAGGUAAUGAAAAUACAGUAACACAGUAAGCACUUUUAGUUCACUUUGUGGACAACUGAACUAGAAACCAGAUGGAAAAAACUAAGCAACCAACCAACCAACCAAUCAAAAAUGGCCCAAAUGAACCAGUGAACUAAAGUAGAAAAGGAUCACUUCCCAUCCAGAACUGUUUUUCGAAAAAUGUCAAUAAAUUCAGCUCUUAAAAGAGCUUUUUAUAUUAAACCAGGCAUCUUUCAAAGAGAAGCAGCUACCUUUGAGGUUCUUGAACUUAGGUUGCAACACAAAGAUAAGUAUAAUAGAGAGAGUGCACAAUGUUAAAUCAAAGGUAGAGGGGAAGAGGAUUGUGGGGACAGUUAUUCUGGAGAUCAAGAAAGAAUUCAGUAUGCUUAAUGCAAAGUAACUGCUGGGGUCCUUGUGUGUUAAAUAUUCUUAUGCGAGGAAACUGUCUUCAUGUUUUAUAUUUGCCUUCAUUUUCUUUUAUUAUUUCCAGACCACCUCUAUUGGUUAUGCUAAGUAAUCCUUUUCUCUUUUUGGAGUUUAAACUUUUUAAGGAAACAAAAACUAAAGAACAGAAAGCCAGACACAUUGGAAAUACAAACUCUUCUUUUACUGCAUAAGAAAUGAGAAGAAAAACUUAGUGUGAAAUUCUGGAGUCUAAAAUUAAAAUGUAAACAGAGAAUGCUCAGUGACCUUUUCUUAGGAGGCUCACAUGAAGGAAUGUCAUGGUACAUUGACCAAACUUUUAUUCAUUUGCAUUUUCAGGAUGUUGCGAUUAAUACCACAUGACACUCAAUAAAUUACACUACGACAUUUUGUACAAAUCACUUCACUUCUGGUUUCCUCUUCGGCUGUUACUUCACCCUCUGGUUACCUGUAGGGAAAAAAAAUGUAUUUUGGGGCUUUAUCUUUAAAGGGCGAUUCACAGUUCUAGCCAAUGUAAAGAUAUUGGUUCCCAAGGAAAUAGCUACCUAAGUUAUGUUUUUUUUUUUUUUUUGAAGGAGUUUUUGCUCGUCGCCCAGGCUGGAGUACAGUGGCGCCAUCUCAGCUCACUGCAACCUCCCCAUCCCGGGUUCAAGUGAUUCUCCUGCCUCAGCCUCCACAGUAGCUAGGACUACAGGUGCCUGCCACCAUGGCUGGCUAAUUUUUGUCUUUUUAGUAGAGACGGGGUUUCACCAUGUUGGGCCGGAUGAUCUCGAUCUCCUGACCUCAGGUGAUCCGCCCGCCUGGGCCUCCCAAAGUGCUGGGAUUACAGGCGUGAGCCACUGCACCCGGCUCGUGUUCUAAGGAAAUAGCUACCUAAGGUAUCUUAUUAAAACAAAUGAACAAAAAGUUUCCCAAACUGUGUUCUAAGGAAAUAGCUACCUAUCUUAUUAAAAAAAAACAAAAACAAAGUUUUAUGCUCUAAUAAGUUUGGGAAAUGCUAGGUUAAACAAAGCUAAACAUGAUUCUUUCCAGUGGGACAUCUGAGAGUCUUUAAUUAGCUAACAGUGCAUUGUGAUUCUGCAAAGGAGGAACAAUAAUUCACUGUUUCCCAAACUUAUCUGACCAUAGAACAUAUUUCUCAGAGUAUUUUUCAAGAGUAGUAUUUUCUGUAAUAUAUGAUGAAAAAUAAUCGUAUCGGCCAUCUUUGUACAUAAGGUCAAAAUGUCAGGCAGCCCUGAAAUAAACGCAAGCCAAAAGGUAGAGAGAUAAGUGAAUAAAGCUGGCACACUGUCAGUCCGGAGUACCAUGCUGCAUUCUGAGUCAAGCUCCAGGAAACUGAGCUAGGGUUUGUCUCUAAGAAGAAAAACUGGAGCGUCCAAAGCUUCUGGAUUCCAUUUAAUUAAAACCCUUUUAAAUUAAAUCCUUGUAACUGAAGAGUAUCGGUGGAUGAAGAAAAAAUAGUCUCACAUGUCUUCAUUUCCAUCCUUGGCUCAGUACAGCUCCAGUUCCAUUAUUCUUAAACAUCUAUUAACAUGAUUGCUAAAUAAUUACACAGGCUAACUGCCAAGCAUUUUUCACAGGAAGCAAGGCACUGCUCUUCUGGCUUAUGCAAAAGGGUCACUGUUUUUUUUUUUUUUUUAACUUUAUCUUGUUUUGAUUGAAGAAACAUCUCUAAAAAUACCAUCUGAGUGCAAGAUAAAAAGGAAAUAGCAAUUCAAGGCACAAAGCUAAGCACAUGCAACAAUAUAGAUGAUUUGGGGGUGGGACAGUACAGAAUUCAGAACUGAUAGAAGUUAUCAGCUCCAUAUUUCAGAAAGACCUAAUGUCUUCCUUCUGCUUAUACUGUUCUGACAGAAUUUUAAUUUUGGCAGAGAUCACUCUCGAUGUUAUGAUGUACUGAUUCAGAGGUCCCAAAUCAGUAACCUGAUCCUAGAUAGAUCCUCAAAGGUCAACUGCCACUAGGUGUCCCCUUCUUGAUCAUUCUUCAUGCUGCCUGGAUUGGGGCAUGGCUAAGCACUCAAGUCAAAGGAUUAGUUGGCAAUAUCCUACAUUGUCAACAAAGCUUUGAAGAAAAACAGAGACAGAAACUGGUAUUUACUAAGUACCUAGGUGAUAAAUUAUUUUCAUAAACAUUACCCUAUAAAACAGACAACUCUCCUGUCCCAAAUCCAAACAGAUCUUUUUCCUUUAUUUACAGAUAAAGAAAAUGGGCUUAGAGAGGUUAUAAAAUUUGUCUAAGGUCUAACCAAAUGCUGAUAAGCAAAUUAGGUACAACUCUGAGCCAGGUCUCGAUGAGUCCAAAGUGUGUUUUAUAAUAUCUUGCUGUCUCUUGAUCAUUACAAAAUUUCAUUUGUUUACAGGAGCACAAAUGGCCUAUUUAUGCCUUUUCUCUCAGCAUCUAGCAAAACAUCUCAACUUUUAUUACACCAACUUUGGGAGUCUUGAUGAUGUUUAAAUCUUCUCAUUCAUUUGCCUAAAUCAAUAGAGCUAUUUAUCCUCAACUGUUGGCAAUGAACUUUCUUAACUCAGAAUUUUGAAAAAAAAAAAAAAAAAAGAAGAAGAAAUUCUAAAUACUUGAAUUGCUUCAUUUCAUGCUCAUUCUUUUGGGCAUGGCUCUUUUUGGUUUUCUUUACAAAGAGAUUCUAAAAUCAUGACACAUUUAGAUAUGAAAAAUAGGAUGGAGAGCAAUGGGAACACUAAUCUGAAAUAGUCACAUGGCUAGAGUACCUGUGUCUGUAGUAAUCCCAAACUAUAUAGAAAACUCUUGAAUUUAUUAAGCAAUCCCUCAUGUGUGCUUGAUUGAAAAAAUAAACAAAGCAGUGCCGUAGAACUGUAGACUUGGAUUCUACCCCCACUCUUCCAUAGUUGCCACCCUGGUUAAGUCUCUCUGAUUGUUUCCUCAUUAUUUAAAAUAAGUACAGCUCUUAAAUUCCUUCAAAAAUUCCCAAGAUUCUACAGUCAACUGCCACUCACUUGCCUUUCCAAUGAAUAAACCGUUUAAAAGAAUUCAAAUCCCACCACCUUUACCCUUUCUAAAUUCUUUUGACAAGGACAAAGGACUUACCCAUCCAUCUUCCACCUAAAUUUGCUUUUUAGUGAUAGAAAAACCAAGCAGCAAAGAAAAAAGUAUGGUCACUCAUCUAGGCAAGAGUGAUGUACAUUGCUUGGACAAUAGUUAAGGAGAGAGCACUUAACAGCCAGCUUAUUUUGGUUGCAGGUAUCAUACCUCAUAUCCCCUAAGGGAGAGAGAAAAAUCAAUCUUUUCCAGGAAAGAUGGUAAUACAGUAAAGCUUCUUUCCCUUGCUUGGCCUGAUACCAAAUAUUUACAAAUGAAAAUAAUUCUAUGAGUGCGAUUCCCCAUACAGAUGCCCACAGCACCUGCUUUCAAAAUCUUUUAUCGGAGAAAUUACAUAACAGGCUAUCUGGCUUGAUCCUUACUCUGAUAACAAAUAGACCUGGGUUUCCUAGUAUCGCGUCCUUGGUAUUUCACUCCUCUCAUCGUCUCAUCACUUUCAUUUCCCCUCAUCACCUGACAUUGACACAAAUGUCCUGAUGCAGUAGGAUACAUCAUAAAAUGAGAGUCUGUACCAUAUUCAACACAGCCUGGUAGAGCUGAGCAAACACUAGUCACUCAAAAAUAUAACUGACUUGACUUUCUGGGUUUAAUUUCCCUAUGAAGCAAUCAUUCCUUCAAAAUGUCAGGACCAGAAGGAUUUCAAUGGUAGUGUGCAGUUCUUGCUUGUUUCUUCAAAGAUUCCUUGGACAUGGCCAGGCCCAUAGGUGGAUGCACUAGAGGAGACAUUCUGGGGUAAAUGCUCCCCUCCCCUUUAGAUACUCUAGCAGAUGAUCAAAAUGGGAAAUAGAGAACUAGUGGGCAAUUUUCCCCUCUACACAUACAUAUAAACAUUUCCUUUUUUUUUUUUUUUUUUCCAGUUCUGGGCACCAUGCCCAGGGACCUUGUAAGCAGAGGUCCCUUGUCAGAAAACAUUAGUCACAUUCACUGGUAAUUC